AGAGUUUGAUCCUGGCUCAGAAUGAACGCUGGCGGCGUGCCUAACACAUGCAAGUCGUACGAGAAAGGGGCUUCGGCCCUGAGUAGAGUGGCGCACGGGUGAGUAACGCGUGGGUAAUCUCCCCUUGGAUUUGGGAUAACUCUGCGAAAGUGGAGCUAAUACCGGAUAGUCUGGCUUUAAUUGAUAAGUCGGUAAAGGAUGCCUCUGCAUAUGCAUUCGUCCAAGGAUGAGCCCGCGUCUCAUUAGCUAGUUGGUAGGGUAAUGGCCUACCAAGGCAACGAUGAGUAGCUGGUCUGAGAGGAUGAUCAGCCACACUGGAACUGAAACACGGUCCAGACUCCUACGGGAGGCAGCAGUGGGGAAUAUUGCGCAAUGGGCGAAAGCCUGACGCAGCAACGCCGUGUGAGGGAUGAAGGCUUUCGGGUCGUAAACCUCUGUCGGAAGGGAAGAACGGGCAUUGGUCUAAUAGGCCUUUGUUUUGACGGUACCUUUAGAGGAAGCACCGGCUAACUCCGUGCCAGCAGCCGCGGUAAUACGGAGGGUGCAAGCGUUAUUCGGAAUUACUGGGCGUAAAGCGCACGUAGGCCGCUUUGUAAGUCAGGGGUGAAAUCCCACGGCUCAACCGUGGAACUGCCCUUGAAACUGCAGAGCUUGAAUCCUGGAGAGGGUGGCGGAAUUCCUGGUGUAGGAGUGAAAUCCGUAGAUAUCACGCAGAACGCCGAUAGCGAAGCAGCUCGCCGGGCCGACAUCGACGCUGAGUGCGAAAGCGUGGGGAGCAAACAGAUUAGAUACCCUGNAGUCCACGCUGUAAACGAUGGAUGCUAGAUGUCGGGAGUAUUCUUCGUGUCGUAGUUAACGCGUANCAUCCCGNCUGGGGAGUACGUCCGCAAGCUGAACUCAAGAAAUGACGGGGCNGCNNGCGGUGGAGUAUGU
rnacentral:rRNA from 1 species